GAUGAAGAACGCAGCGAAAUGCGAUAAUUAAUGUGAAUUGCAGAAUUUAGUGAAUCAUCGAAUCUUUGAACGCACAUUGCGCCCCCUGGUAUUCCGGGGGGCAUGCCUGUCCGAGCGUCAUUACAACCCUCAAGCUCAGCUUGGUAUUGGGCCCCGCCGACCCGGCGGGCCCUAAAGUCAGUGGCGGUGCCGUCCGGCUCCGAGCGUAGUAAUUCUUCUCGCUCUGGAGGUCCGGUCGUGUGCUCGCCAGCAACCCCCAAUUUUUUUCAGGUUGACCUCGGAUCAGGUAGGGAUACCCGCUGAACUUAAGCAUAUCAAUAAGCGGAGGA
rnacentral:misc_RNA from 1 species